UACGGAGGGUGCGAGCGUUAAUCGGAAUUACUGGGCGUAAAGCGUGCGUAGGCGGCCCGUUAAGUCAGAUGUGAAAGCCCCGGGCUUAACCUGGGAACUGCAUUUGAUACUGGCGGGCUAGAGUUUACUAGAGGGGAGUGGAAUUUCAGGUGUAGCGGUGAAAUGCGUAGAUAUCUGAAGGAACACCAGUGGCGAAGGCGACUCCCUGGAGUAAAACUGACGCUGAGGUACGAAAGCGUGGGUAGCAAACAGG
rnacentral:rRNA from 1 species